GAGGCCGCCAUCGCGCUCCAGCGCGCGCAGCUCGUCGGGGUCCAGGCCGGCCAGCGCGUUGAGGCGCACGUCCAGCUGCUCCAGGCGCGCCAGGCGCAGGGCGGCUGGCGGCAGACGGCUCAGCGCGUUGCCCGCUAGGCCCAGCAGGCGAAGCUCGGCCAGCGGUGCCAGCGCAGCGUCCAGCGCGGCCAGCAGCGCGGGGCCGCCGCGCACCAGCGCGUGGUUGAGCUGCAGCGAGCGCAGCGCGGGCAGCCCGCGGAAGGCGCCGCCGCCCAGGGCGCGCAGCGGGUUGUGGCUGAGGUCGAGCGCCGCCAGGCUGGGCAGCCCGUCGAAGGCGCCGUCCUCCACCACCUCGAUGUGGUUGUGCGUGAGGCGCAGCGCGCUCAGGAGCGGCAGGCGCACGCCCGCCGCCUGGUCGCCGUCCCCGUCCCCGCCGGCGAAGGCGGCCGCGCGCAGCACCGUCAGGUUGGCGCCUACGAUGGUGAGGUUGCGCGCGUCGGGCGGCACGUCCCGCGGAGGCUGGCGGAGCUCGGCUCCCGACGCGCAGCGCAGCAGCAGCUUGGGGCCGCCGAAGCAGUAGCACUGGAAGGGGCAGGGUGCCGCGGGCUGGCUCAGCGCCGCCGCCACGAGCAGCAGCCCCUGGAGCCCCGGCUGUCCCGCGCGCGGGGCCAUCGCGGCCGCCCCCGCAUCCAGCGCCCGGGCCGCCGCGCUCACCAGUGAGUUGGGAGCGCCUGGUGGGGGGCACGGGUGGGGCGAGUCCUUGACCCGGAGCGGCUGGCAGUCCCGGUCGGUCCGUUCGCUGUCUCGAAAGUCUGAGGAGCCGCACUUACUGGCUGACUGGCCGGGGGCAAGAGGGGUCAGACGGGGAGCGGAGCCCCCCGCCCCCGGUGCCCUCGCCCUGCGCGCCGGCCUCCGGCUUCCGCGGCCGCUCCGGGCUCCGAGCCGAGUGGGCAGGGUUUGCCUCCCCCCUCCCCGCCUCCCGGUCUCGUCCUCCGCCCCCAGCGGAGUCUCCGCGCCCUCCUCGCCGUGGGAGGCGGGGUGGGAGGCUCCCGAGAAUCAGGGCUGUCGGCUGCUGCGCUUUCUCUUCAUCCUCUCCGCCCCCGCCCCUCCGGGCUGCCGAGAAGUUUGGCUCCUGGAGGCUCCGACUUGGUUUUCCUCCUCCUCCACCCCCAACAUUUAAGCUGGGUCCUUCCUCCUCCUUCUCCAGCACGUGUGGGGCGGGGCCCGACUGCGGAGAGCAGGCAGAACUGGGAAGCUCUAAACCUGAUUUAAAGAGACAGGCUCCUGAGAAGGGAGGAUUCCUGGCCUUAGCAUGAAUUAUUCAGGCUGGAGAGGCUGACACUUGAUCCGCAGGCCAUUCGGGUAUCAGCAGAGCUGGUUGGAAUAGAGGCUCCCCACCUCCUCCCAAGAAUCAGUCUCUUUCUCCUGAAUUGGGUGCUUCCCGUCUAAAUUCUCCUGGAACCAAUUUCUCUCUGUCCAAGUUCCCCAAGGAAUCAAGUCUGCGAGCCAUUGGGGCUGAGGGAUCUCUGUUCUUUGGAGGAACAGCGCUCUCCAUCUUAGAUUUGCCAGUGUUCAGUAUGCAUUAAGUGUUCAAUAAAUGUGUGUCCACUUGAGUCUGAGGCUGUGUGUUUAUUCUCUGAUGCAUCUGGUGGAAGUCUCUUUUCUUGGACUGUUUGCCCCAGCUGGGGUGCUCUCCUCUUGAUUCUGUUUCUCCAGUCCAGUCAGCUGUCCCUCAGGACUUGUGAGUUUUGCCCCCUUCAGGGAGCCCUCAUGGCUUCCCUCUCCAUCCUUUGAACUUCACUGAUCAAUUAGAGGGCUAAGACUCCCCUGAUCUUCUUGACUGUCAGCAGCUAGGGCUCAGGUCUGGUCUAAUUUCUUAGGGAUCAGUACAGAGAAGGCACCAGGGAAUAUUUGCUGACUGAAAUAAUGAUUUAAAAAUCUGUGACUCGAGCCUCUCAUCCCUAUGAGGCAAGCUCGGUGAGGACCCCUCAUCUACACUUCAUACCAGGAGAUAGCUGCUCAGAAAUGUUAAGUGCUUUCCCCAAGGUUGCACACCUGACUGGGACCUGAGCCAGAUAGAAGCUCGGGUUUCUUGCCCAUCUCCUUUGCCGCAGCCCCCCCUCAUCCUAGGAUCCCUCUCUCCUGGGAGUGUGGCUGGGUCAGAUCCCAGGGGAGCCUGUGGGCAAAGAGCUCACGCCCUCAGGGUUUCCUUAGGACUCGGAAGAAGCGAGGCACCCCUCGCCACCCAAGCAGAGUGAUCAUCUGCCCUUUGCCCAGAUGAGUACCCCUCAUGUCAGCCACACUGGAUCUUCACGCUUGCUUGAAUUUAUUACUCCACUAGGUCCCAGAGCCCUUCUCUUAGUAUUCCAAGGUGUUGUCUCUACCUGAGCCUCUAGUGCCUUCGCUGGGCCUUUUCUGCUGGCACAGACCCUGCUGUUGAUCAGCUCCACUAAGCCUUGGUAGGGAGCACAGAGUGUGAUGACGUCCCUGAGAUCACCCAGCAGGUAGCCCCUUCUCCAGCUCUGUUUUGUCAUCAGAGGUGUGUCAAUAUUAUUAAAGUCCUUGGACACACCUCAGUUUCCCUGUCUGCAAAAAAGUGUGUGUGGAUGGGAUGGUCCUGGGGGGCCUAGUAGUCUUGUGCCCCUUGGCAUUUUAGGGAUGGGGGUCAGGGAGGGGAAGGUCAUACUGGGAUUUGCCCAAGUUGGUGCCCCCACCUUCUCAAUAUAUGACCUUGAACUUGGUACCACCCCAAUUAAGGCCUUGGUUGCCCGACUAGAAAGUGGUAGGGGUGGCUGGGUGUGGUGCCUCAUGCCUGUAAUCCCAGAACUUUGGGAGGCCGAGGUGGGCAGAUCACAAGGUCAGGAGAUUGAGGCCAUCCUGGCGAACAUGGUGAAACCCCGUCUCUACUAAAAAUACAAAAAAGAAUUAGCCGGGCGUGGUGGUGGGCACCUGUAGUCCCAGCUACUCAGGGGGGCUGAGGAAGAAAGUGGUAGGGGUGGUCUGGGGUCCUUCUGGAGCGGAUGCUGUAGCAUCCUGAGAUCCAGGCUCCCUUUGUCCUCUGUCCCAGCAGCCCUCCUGCUGCCUUCCCAUCCCUCUGUUCCCCCCUCCUCCAAGGCAAAUGGAGGAGCAGCAGGCGGCCUGACGUGAUGAACUCAGCCACGAGGUAGUGGGGGAGGCCCCAGCUUCUCUCCUCUUGCUUGGCUUCCUUGCCAGCAGGGACGGGAGACUUCACUGUGGGCCUUGCCAUUCCCAUUUCUCACUCCCCCUCCCCUCCCCCACUGCUGUGAGACACAGGAAAAUCCAUAGGCCCAAGAUUCAUUUUCUCCGUUGAGUCAGCAGAGGCCAGCGCUGCUUCUGAGGGGCAGGCAACUGGCUUUUAAAUAACUCUCUGAUAUUUAAUACCCUCCUCCUCCGCUCUGUGGCCUGGGCCUCUGGGGAAAGGCUAGAAUAAAUGAGCUGGAUGCGUCCUCCGAAAGUCCUAAAUGUUCUUACCCCCACCUCAGUCUUCCCCCCAACCCCCAACUCUCAGACCAUUGGAAAAGAUGACUCCUUACUACAUCUGUACCUUGCUUUACAGUUUCUAAGUGGUGGCAGGCUGGGUUUGUUGUCCCAGUUUAGAAUGGGAAAUGGACAUUUAGAAAAGGAGAGAGAUCCCACUUGACUUUUGGUCUUUGUCUGCUGUUGGCUGGCUGUGUGGCUGUGGGCAGGUGGGUCCCUGUCCCUCCCUGGGCUUCUGUUUCCUCAUCUGUGCUGCAAGGUGGUUCGGCCAGUGGGUUGUUGUUGGUCCCCCUUGGCUGUGUAAUGUUAUGAUUUGCUGUGCUGGCCUAGGUCUCCUUCCCUAAUGAAGCCUCUGUUUCUCCACUCCUCUUCAAGGAAAGGCUAAAGGGCAGAGCCGACUGAGGCUAAAGGCCAGCUAAGGUCUGACCCCUAGGAUUCCACUCUGUUGAGUCAGGGACAGGAGUGGGUAGGGGAGAGGGGAAAGGGAAAGGAGCAGAGUUGGGUGCCUUCCCUUCCCUUCCCUUGUCUUCCCUUCCCUCCCCUCCACUCCCCUCCCCUUUCAUUAUUUCUUGCUUUUGCCAGUAGAGGUUGGGACAGACCAAGGGCAAUAACCUGUCUUGGUUCUCUUAAAACCCAAGGUCUCUACCACUGUGGAUGCAGUUUAAUGAGGUGGGAGCAAAACCCUCUUCCUCAGCUGUGCCCAGGCCCAGGAUCCUGAUCAUGGAAGUUAGUGGGCCCAGUUCUCCUGGUUUUGCCACUGUUCUGCAUUAUUCAGAAGACAGGGAUUGAUAUCUCUGUUGGCUAUAUGAGAACACUGGGAGGUUAAGAGCUGUGCUUGGGGUCAUCCCAGAUUAAUGAUGGAACAGGGCCUAUAAUCUAGGUUUUCUGAUUCCCAACUCCGUGUUCAUGCCACUUCCCUGAUUCAGGCAGGAAGUUGGGGCCUGAGGGGUGAGCAUGGGAGAGGCAGCUGGUUCUGUAGGGGUGACCUUUGUUUGCCCAACUUCUUUAGCCUCCUCUUGGGUCCUCAUGCUCUUCUUCAAUGUACUGAGCCUUCUGCUUCUAGAAUCACAGAAUCUUGGAAUCAAAACAUUGACUGCUAAGAACCACAGACUCAGAGAGCCAUAGAACUGUGGUCUCUGAAUUAGAACAAAGACUUAUGGUAUUGGUAGUAUGGUGGUGGUGAAUGAGACACUUAGAGCUUGUGGUAGGUUGUUAAUAUUGAUGGUCCCAAAUGAAUUCUGCGUAUCUGAGUCCAUACUUUUAUGUUGUCCCACCCCAUACUGACUUUGGGUUGGCCGUGUGACUUCCUCUGGUUAAUGAGACGUCAGCAAAUGUGAUGCAAGGAGAGUCUUAAAAAGUGCUUGUGCAUUGGGAUUCACCUCUUCUUGCUCCCCUGAAACUGCCAUGUGUAGGAACACAAGCAUGCCUUUUAGAGGAAGAGACCAGAAGUAAACCAUCCCAGCUGGAGAUGAACCAGCUCCCUGAUGGUCUUCCGCCUGCCUCCAGCCACCUGAGUGACCCCAGAUAAGACCAACAGAACUACUCAGCUGACCCGAGCCCAAAUUUCUGACUCACAGAAUUGUGAACAAAUAAAAUGGUGGUUGUUUUAAGUCACUAAGUUUUGGGGUGGUUUGUUACACAGCAGUAGAUAACGGAUGCAGAACCUCAUCAUUGUAGAAUCUUGGUCAUAGAUCCAAUAUGCCCUGACAGUCACAGCAUCGUGGAACCCCAGGACCAGAAACUGGAACCACUGAUGUAGAAUCCAAGAAACAGAAGAGUCCUGAAAACGCCUUAACUCCCACCCAAUGGUACCCUCUCCUUUCACUGUCAGACCAGGUGACCACUCAUCUUUCAACGUUGAGCCCUCUCCCCACCCACAGGUGUCUCUUAUUCUUUAGCGUUG
rnacentral:lncRNA from 1 species